rnacentral:rRNA from 1 species
CAGUCGCCGCGGUAAUACGUAGGGCGCAAGCGUUGUCCGGAAUUAUUGGGCGUAAAGAGCUCGUAGGCGGUCUGUCGCGUCUGGUGUGAAAUCCCGAGGCUCAACCUCGGGCUUGCAUCGGGUACGGGCAGACUAGAGUGCGGUAGGGGAGACUGGAAUUUCUGGUGUAGCGGUGGAAUGCGCAGAUAUCAGGAGGAACACCGAUGGCGAAGGCAGGUCUCUGGGCCGCAACUGACGCUGAGGAGCGAAAGCAUGGGGAGCGAACAGGAUUAGAUACCCCCGUAGUCCCUGUCUCUUAUAC